CGCUCGUCUCUCCCCAAUCCCGCGUCUCUCAUCCUCCCCCAAUCCCGUCGCUCUCCUCCUCCCCCAAUCCCAUCGUUCUCCUCCUCCUCCUCCUCCUCCUCCUCCUCCUCCUCCUAUAGCUCUCUUCCUCCUCCUCCCUGACGCAGAACAAAGCGGAGGCGGCUUAUGAAGGAGGAACGGGCAGAGGAGAUGGAGCAGCAGCGGUAGGAAGUGGUGGUAUGGAACCUCCAUCCCCAGCCCCUCUACCUCGAGCAGCGGCCGGCUGGGCUCAGCCUCCUCCGGCCCCAUCUCUCCACGGCCAGACCUGCCAAUUCCAGGAUGUUUGAGGAAAAUCCAAGCAGGCUGCAGAUCGGAGGUGACACAAUCCAUUAUGAUGUUGUUGCAAACUCGGCUGCAUCUCUGGAGUAAUUUCUGUUGGUUGAUCUGCUGUGAAGUAACACAAAACCACAGAAUGUUUUUUCUCCUCAGAAAUUACUUGUCUGCUCACAUACUGGAACCAAUCACAGAUACUCAAGCACAUGCCGCUAUCUCAGUGCAGCCCCAGAUAGGCCAGUAUCCCAAGAAGUCUUUUGCUAAAUUGAUCAACUUCAACAUAUUCGAGACAAGAUGCAAUUAGGUGCUCCUUUUGCAUGUACUGUCGUCAGAUAGUUGCUGGAAGCUGUACAUAUUUUCCUAAACUCUUCAAUCUGUCCAUGCGUUCAUGCUAUCCAUGACUGAGUUGCGGGGAUUAGACUAGACUCUCACAUGAAACCACUAAAUGAAAUUAGUUUCGUGGAAUAUGUGCAGGUAUUAUUUAGAGUAAUAUAAAAACAACAAUCAGUUGUCCUGUUAUAGGAAUAUUAAACAAGGAAUCAUGCCAGUUCUAGAAUUUAGGUGAUACCCAAUUGCAGGUAUGAUUAUUGGUACGAUUGCAGCUUAAUAUUCCUGGUUGAUGAGGUUUCUGCUCUCUACUUAAUGAACUAAUAGAUAUAUUAUGAAAAAAGAGCAGAUCCAUGAUCAUGUACUCUCACUCCGCUUACUAUAUUGAAAGCUGUUGAAACAAUAUUACCAUGUACUGUGCUCUGCUCUGUUCUCUUGUCAGGUAACGGAGGGGGAAGAGGGAAAUCCACCAUAUCGCUGGCUUCCUCCCAAGUUUUCAGAUCACUGCUGCUAUUUAUGUGCAUGUGUUGAAUGAAUAUAUUACAUGUGUACUAUUUGUAUUUAUCAGUUUUCCUGAUUUAAGUUGCUAGAUUUAUCUCAUUUCUUACCAGAGAGAAGCUUUUCUUAGCAAACUGAAAACUGAUGCAAUAUAGUAACAAACUUAGAUGCAUAGGGCGUGUUCUUCAUUUUCAUGUCCAAAUACAUUCAUCUUGAUGCUUCAUAUGAUUUACUUAUGUAACUAAUAUUUAUGAAUUCUCAAUGCUACACUUCUCCUAAACCCACGUUUGUUUUUGUAAAAUUUGGCAGGCACUGGGUACCUAACAUCUUGCUUUGCAUUCAUUGUUAAAACAAAUGGAUGAGUGGUCCAUUAUUCUACUGAAAGUGUCAAGAAAAGUGCAACAGCCCCACAACAGAAUGAUGGAUCCCUCACUAUUCAUAUUGAUGGGAUGCAGGAAAACAAUACCAGCGGAGGAGAUCCCAACAACUGACGUGAAGCUGCGUGGAGGAAGGGCAUGCAGAUCAAGACAAUCGCACCAGACCUGGUGUUCAUCAUCGAAGAGAAGUGGCACCCAAUGUUCACCCCGGAUGUCAACAGCCUGGUGGUCACACCCGGUGCACCUGGCAAUACUGGAUAGAUAUAGAAUUACAGGGCGUAUCUGCUCUGUGAUCCAGCCAUGGUCGGCGAGGUGGUCCGCGGUGAGGGCAUGCUGGUGCCAAUGCGAUCUUCAUAUACUAAUAUACAUGCAACAUGCAUACUCACAAAGAGAAAGAUUUCAUAUGUGAUUUGUUUAUGUGCACCAAAGGUGAUAGAAGCAGUGACAGACCCUCUAGCGGAGGCCAUCUCGCGAUGGUGCUGCACGAGCACAAAUUCUAGCAUAGAAUAGGUAUUUAUUUACUUAUAGCUUUAGACAAUGUAAGCAGAUCAUGUGAUAGAUGUCAUUGAUUUUAUAGCUCAUGACUAAACCCGAGUAUCUUUUUGAGGAAUAACGUGUCGCUUGCUUCCCAACCCAAUGUUAUUUAAAUUCAGUAUAAAUUGCACUUGGAGCGGUUA